rnacentral:rRNA from 1 species
UACGUAGGGGGCGAGCGUUGUCCGAAGUUACUGGGCGUAAAGCGCGCGUAGGCGGUUUCUUAAGUCUGGUGUGAAAGGUUCAGGGCUCAACCCGAACAGUGCACUGGAUACUGGGAGACUUGAGUAUGGGAGAGGAGAGCGGAAUUCCUGGUGUAGCGGUGAAAUGCGUAGAUAUCAGGAGGAACACCGAUGGCGAAGGCAGCUCUCUGGCCUGUAGCUGACGCUGAGGUGCGAAAGCGUGGGGAGCAAACAGG